CGUCUAUUUACUGUUUUUUCCCUUAUCCACGAGAUAAAAAAUAUAGAGAGGGCUCUGGAACUACACACAGACCGCCGUGUCUGACACGAUAGUGAUGGCGAAUCGGCUCAGAAUCACACACGGAGCCCGUUUUGAGAUUGAUCUUUGAGCUGUUUCUCUUGAGCAAUUCUUAAGCAUCACCAGCACUACAGACUCCACUGCACCAUAUCUGACGAUCUAUUCAGGGCACGACCUGUAUUUUUCUCUGCAGCUGAACGCCUGGUUUUGGGUUUUAUCUAACCAGCACUUCUCCUGAAUUAUUCUUCUCACCCAUCAACCCUAACCCACCCUUCCCUCCCCUCACCUCUCCAACCACCCACCCACCUAAAAAAAAAAAAAAA